rnacentral:rRNA from 1 species
AGUGAACGCUGUCGGUCUUCCUAACACCUUCAAUUCGAACUUCAGCACAGUAAGAGCUUUCUCUUACUGUUGGCGAGUGGCGGACGGGUGAGGAAUACAUCUUAAUCUACUUUUUCGUGGGGGAUAACGUAGGGAAACUUACGCUAAUACCGCAUACGACCUACGGGUGAAAGCAGGGGAUCUUCGGACCUUGCGCGAUUGAAUGAGCCGAUGUCGGAUUAGCUAGUUGGCGGGGUAAAGGCCCACCAAUGCUCCUCUCCGUAGCUGGUCUGAGAGGAUGAGGACAAACAAUGGAACUGAGAAACGGUCCAGACCACGAAGGGAGGCAGCAGGUGGGAAUAUUGGACAAUGGGCGCAAGCCUGAUCCAGCCAUACCGCGUGGGUGAAGAAGGCCUUCGGAGUUUAAAGCAAUUUUGUUGGGAAAGAAAAGCAGCAGGUUAAUACCCCGCUGUUCUGACGGUACCCAAAGAAUAAGCAACGGCUAACUUCGUG